CGGUUUGCGGCUGCUUAACAUGCAAGUCGAACGGUAACAGGGAGCUUGCUCCGCUGACGAGUGGCGAACGGGUGAGUAAUACAUCGGAACGUGCCCAGUAAUGGGGGAUAGCUCGGCGAAAGCCGGAUUAAUACCGCAUACGCCCUGAGGGGGAAAGUGGGGGACCGCAAGGCCUCACGUUAUUGGAGCGGCCGAUGGCUGAUUAGCUAGUUGGUAGGGUAAAGGCCUACCAAGGCGACGAUCAGUAGCUGGUCUGAGAGGACGAUCAGCCACACUGGGACUGAGACACGGCCCAGACUCCUACGGGAGGCAGCAGUGGGGAAUUUUGGACAAUGGGGGAAACCCUGAUCCAGCAAUGCCGCGUGUGCGAAGAAGGCCUUCGGGUUGUAAAGCACUUUUGUCAGGGAAGAAAUCCUUUGGGCUAAUACCCUAGGGGGAUGACGGUACCUGAAGAAUAAGCACCGGCUAACUACGUGCCAGCAGCCGCGGUAAUACGUAGGGUGCAAGCGUUAAUCGGAAUUACUGGGCGUAAAGCGUGCGCAGGCGGUUGUGUAAGACAGGUGUGAAAUCCCCGGGCUUAACCUGGGAAUUGCAUUUGUGACUGCACGAC
rnacentral:rRNA from 1 species